GAUGAAGAACGUAGCGAAAUGCGAUACGUAAUGUGAAUUGCAGAAUUCAGUGAAUCAUCGAGUCUUUGAACGCACAUUGCGCCCCCUGGUAUUCCGGGGGGCAUGCCUGUCCGAGCGUCAUUGCUGCCCUCAAGCACGGCUUGUGUGUUGGGCCUCCGCCCCCCGGCUCCCGGGGGGCGGGCCCGAAAGGCAGCGGCGGCACCGCGUCCGGUCCUCGAGCGUAUGGGGCUUCGUCACCCGCUCCGUAGGCCCGGCCGGCGCCCGCCGGCGACCCCCCUCAAUCUUUCCAGGUUGACCUCGGAUCAGGUAGGGAUACCCGCUGAACUUAAGCAUAUCAAUAAGCUGAGGA
rnacentral:misc_RNA from 1 species